GGUAAACAGAAAGGGCAAGGUGCCGCUGGCGACAGCGGAGAAUUGGGAAGCCGGUGCAAUUCCGGCACUGCCCCCGCAACGGUAACGGCGCGAAGGGCAUGGCGAAAACCACUGGGGCGACAUGCUCCGGGAAGGCGUCAUGCCUGGCCAGAAGGCCACGACCGAAGUCCGGAAACCAGCCUUGCAUGAGACGUCAAC
rnacentral:ncRNA from 1 species